rnacentral:rRNA from 1 species
UACGUAGGGUGCAAGCGUUAAUCGGAAUUACUGGGCGUAAAGCGCGCGUAGGCGGAUCAUCAAGUCGGGGGUGAAAUCCCGGGGCUCAACCCCGGAAUGGCCUUCGAGACUGGUGGUCUUGAGUUCGAGAGAGGUGAGUGGAAUUCCGAGUGUAGAGGUGAAAUUCGUAGAUAUUCGGAAGAACACCAGUGGCGAAGGCGACUAACUGGACAUGUAUUGACGCUGAGGUGCGAAAGCGUGGGGAGCAAACAGG